UCCCGUUAAAGCUUUUUCGCUCUCCCUGCGCUGCCAGAAUGAUUCUCUGUGUUUAGAAGUCGAAGUCACAGCCACCGAGUGGGGAAUGAAUCAAGACCUGUGUGGACAUCCAAAAGCUCAUUUGAUGCCUGUACAGGCAGAACUGAAGCCAAAUUCUGGGUGGAAGAAGAGAGGGAAUCCAGUGGAAUUGUUAAGAGCUUUGGACUGUCUGCAGCACUUCCUCUGCAGCAGAAGUGAAAAAGGAGCCAGUUCUUAAGGGCAGCAUUCAUGUAUCAUCUGCUUGUCUUUGCUCCCUUCUGCAUCCUCCAGCUCCUCUGGCAA